rnacentral:rRNA from 1 species
UACGGAGGGUGCAAGCGUUAUCCGGAUUUACUGGGCUUAAAGGGUGCGUAGGUGGGUCUGUAAGUCAGUGGUGAAAUCUUCAAGCUUAACUUGGAAACUGCCAUUGAUACUAUAGGUCUUGAAUUAUCUGGAGGUGAGCGGAAUAUGUCAUGUAGCGGUGAAAUGCUUAGAUAUGACAUAGAACACCAAUUGCGAAGGCAGCUCACUACGGAUGUAUUGACACUGAGGCACGAAAGCGUGGGGAUCAAACAGG